UGGGGAAUCUUGCGCAAUGGGCGAAAGCCUGACGCAGCGAUGCCGCGUGCGGGAUGAAGGCCUUCGGGUUGUAAACCGCUUUCAGCAGGGACGAAAUUGACGGUACCUGCAGAAGAAGCCCCGGCCAACUACGUGCCAGCAGCCGCGGUAAUACGUAGGGGGCGAGCGUUGUCCGGAUUUAUUGGGCGUAAAGAGCUCGUAGGCGGUUCGAUAAGUCGGAUGUGAAAUCUCCACGCUCAACGUGGAGAGGCCAUUCGAUACUGUCGUGACUCGAGUCCGGUAGGGGAGUGUGGAAUUCCCGGUGUAGCGGUGAAAUGCGCAGAGAUCGGGAGGAACACCCGUAGCGAAGGCGGCACUCUGGGCCGGAACUGACGCUGAGGAGCGAAAGCGUGGGGAGCAAACAGGAUUAGAUACCCUGGUAGUCCACGCCGUAAACGUUGGGCACUAGGUGUGGGACUCUAUCGACGGGUUCCGUGCCGUAGCUAACGCA
rnacentral:rRNA from 1 species